GUGCUUGCUUCAGCAGCACAUAUACUAAAAUUGAAACAACACAGAGAAAACUAGCAAAGCCCUACAUAAGGAUGAUACGCAAAUUUGUAAUAUGAGCAGCUAACAAAAUUCUU
ensembl:snRNA U6 U6 spliceosomal RNA